rnacentral:rRNA from 1 species
GGGUCAGUAGGUUGGUCGUGCCACCGGUACGUACUGGUCUCACUGAUUCCUCCUUCCUGAAGAACCGUAAUGCCACUAAUUUGGUGUUGCGGGGAAACAGGACUGUUACUUUGAAAAAAUUAGAGUGUUUAAAGCAAGCUAACGCUUGAAUACAUUAGCAUGGAAUAAUGAAAUAGGACGAUCGAUCCUAUUUUGUUAGUUUCUAGGAUUGACGUA